GGGCCACCCAUGGCUACCCAUGGACCAAUUGGCACAUACUUUCUCUCCUCUGAGGCCCAUAAAAGCCCUGCGCUCAGCCAGAACUAAGCAGAUAUCUGGAUGACCAGCUGCAGAGAGGAGCUACCCACUCCAGGGCCUCCUCUCUGAUGAGAGCUGCAGAGACAAUGGGACAACCUGUCUGCAGAGAAAAGGAAUACAACAUGUUUAAGACCACAGAACAUCUGCAUAGGCUGUAAAUUUCGUUAAAUGAUGGAUGCAAAGAUGGAAGACAGAUGGAUAGAGAAAAAGACAGAAUCAGAUACUGGAUGAGUUAGUACUGCUGCUUGUGCUUCAGAGCUGUCUUAUUACCACAAGGCCGGCAAGCAUCAAUGUCCCCACAUCCCCCUCUGCCUCCCCCUGAAAUGUACCGAUUUAUAUGAAAAUUAAGAUUACAAAUUAAAGCCUGGCUAUCCUGGAGUUUUCCAGUUCAUCAGCCAUCCAAUAAAAAUGAUGUCAAGCCUGUAUGCAUAAUUCCCGGAAGAUUACUUUCGUCCUUACAGCUAAGCCCUGUCCCUGAUAUGAAAGAUCUCUAUCCACUUUUAUUGAAAUAAAGAACUAACAUCAUAAUCCCA
rnacentral:antisense_RNA from 1 species